rnacentral:misc_RNA from 1 species
UCUCCGUAGGUGAACCUGCGGAGGGAUCAUUACAGAGUUCAUGCCCUACCGGGUAGAUCUCCCACCCUAUGUUAUUAUUACUUUGUUGCUUUGGCGGGCCGUUAGGCCCCGGCCCGACUACCGGCCCCGGCUGGUAAGCGCCCGCCAAAGGACCCAAAACCCUGAAUAUUAGUGUCGUCUGAGUACUAUAUAAUAGUUAAAACUUUCAACAACGGAUCUCUUGGUUCUGGCAUCGAUGUAGAACGCAGC